GCCUUUUGAUUAUAAUUUAAGGUCUAACCUGCCCAAUGAGGAUUUGAAUGGCCGCGGUAUUUUGACCGUGCAAAGGUAGCAUAAUCAUUAGUUUUUUAAUUGAAAGCUGGAAUGAAAGGUUGAAUGANAAAAUAAUUGUCUCUAUUUAAAUUAUUUAGAAUUUUAUAUUUAAGUAAAAAAGCUUAAAUUAAAUUAGAAGACGAGAAGACCCUAUAGAGUUUAAUUAAUUUUUAUAAUGAAUUUUUUAGUAUUUAUUUUUUUUAUAUAAAUAUUAAUUUANUUGGGGUGAUUGAAAAAUUUAAUGAACUUUUUUUUAAAUUUAUACAUUGAUUUAUGAGUAUUUGAUCCUUAUUUAAAGAUUAAAAGAAAAAAUUACCUUAGGGAUAACAGCGUAAUUUUUUUAGAGAGUUCAAAUCGAAAAAAAGGAUUGCGACCUCGAUGUUGGAUUAAAAUAAAAUUUUGGUGUAGAAGCUAAAAUAUUUAGGUCUGUUCGACCUUUAAAAUUUUACUUGAU
rnacentral:rRNA from 1 species